UACGAAGGGGGCUAGCGUUGCUCGGAAUUACUGGGCGUAAAGCGCACGUAGGCGGCUUCUUAAGUCGGUGGUGAAAUCCUGGAGCUCAACUCCAGAACUGCCUUCGAUACUGGGAAGCUCGAGUCCGGGAGAGGUGAGUGGAACUGCGAGUGUAGAGGUGAAAUUCGUAGAUAUUCGCAAGAACACCAGUGGCGAAGGCGAGUUGCUGGGCUGACACUGACGCUGAUGCGCGAAAGCCAGGGGAGCGAACAGG
rnacentral:rRNA from 1 species